rnacentral:lncRNA from 1 species
CAGGGCCAUGUCCUGUGAUUGGCAGCUCCUCAGAACCACAUGGAGUGGAAGAGCUGUUCCUAGAAAUAGGGUGCUUGUUAUUCUGAGAGGACAAGAAUGACAGCCACGUCAUCUGGAGAAGGCAGCCAGGGAAGUAGUCAAGAGAAAACACUUCUGUGGGUGACUUGAAGAAGCUGGUUACCAUAUGGUUGUUGGCCAAGCUUUGCUGGCUUUUUUGCAGCUUUCUGUUCCCGCAAGUUACUCCCCCAAAUCCUACCUAUUUUAAAAGCAACUCUCACAGGAAGAAAGGCUUGGUAGCCAACAGAUGACCACCACAUUCUCUCCCCCAAGACGUCUGAUUUCAGAAG